GAAAAAGUCAUAGGGGUUAUGAGGCUGGCUUGAAACCAGCCUUAGGAGGUUCAAUUCCUUCCUUUUUUG
rfam:Pan troglodytes isolate Yerkes chimp pedigree #C0471 (Clint) chromosome 17, whole genome shotgun sequence.